GGGAUAUGAAGAAAUUU
rnacentral:miRNA from 1 species